GUAGGUGAACCUGCGGAAGGAUCAUUACAGAGUUCAUGCCCUAACGGGUAGAUCUCCCACCCUUGAAUAAUAUUACCUUUGUUGCUUUGGCGGGCCGCUCUGUCCACCGGCUUCGGCUGGUGAGUGCCCGCCAGAGGACCUAAAUUCUGAAUUACAGUGUCGUCUGAGUACUAUAUAAUAGUUAAAACUUUCAACAACGGAUCUCUUGGUUCUG
rnacentral:misc_RNA from 1 species